AACGAACGCUGGCGGCAGGCCUAACACAUGCAAGUCGAACGCUGUAGCGAUACAGAGUGGCGGACGGGUGAGUAACGCGUGGGAACGUGCCUUUCGGUUCGGAAUAAUCCAGGGAAACUUGAGCUAAUACCGGAUACGCCCUAUGGGGGAAAGAUUUAUUGCCGAAGGAUCGGCCCGCGUCCGAUUAGGUAGUUGGUGGGGUAAUGGCGCACCAAGGCGACGAUCGGUGGCUGGUCUGAGAGGAUGAUCAGCCACACUGGGACUGAGACACGGCCCAGACUCCUACGGGAGGCAGCAGUGGGGAAUAUUGGACAAUGGGCGCAGGCCUGAUCCAGCCAUGCCGCGUGAGUGAUGAAGGCCCUAGAGUUGUAAAGCUCUUUCGCCAGGGACGAUAAUGACGGUACCUGGAUAAGAAGCCCCGGCUAACUUCGUGCCAGCCGCCGCAGUAA
rnacentral:rRNA from 1 species